AAGUCGUAACAAGGUUUCCGUAGGUGAACCUGCGGAAGGAUCAUUAAUGAGUUGUGAUGGGGUUUGAUGCUGGCAGCCAAUUUUUGGAUGCAUGUGCUUGCCCUAACAAUCAUCUUCCAAACACCUGUGCACAUUUUUGAGGGAGUUUUGAGUUUAUUGCCAUUUUGGUGAUUUUCUUGCAUUCCCUUAAAUCAUUAUACGCUUUUAACAAUAAUGAACGUGCUCUGUGCCGCAAGGCCAUUAAUAUAAUACAACUUUUAACAACGGAUCUCUUGGCUCUCGCAUCGAUGAAGAACGCAGCGAAAUGCGAUAAGUAAUGUGAAUUGCAGAAUUCAGUGAAUCAUCGAAUCUUUGAACGCACCUUGCGCUCCCUGGUAUUCCGGGGAGCACGCCUGUUCGAGUGUCGUGAAAUUUCUCAAGCUUGGAUGGCUUUUUGUCUGUCCUUAGCCUUGGUUGUUGGGCUUUGCCGUGUCCUUUUGUUGGGACGGCUGGCCUUAAAAGCAUUAGCUGAUCCUUGUGUGGCACUGGUUCUACUCAGCGUGAUAACAGUCUGAUCGCUGAGGACAUCUUUUGGGAUGGCCAGUUCUCAUUUGGGUUGCUUCUAAACUUGGUUUUGCAGAUUCUUGAAUCUGUGUUCCACUUUUCAGCUUUGACCUCGAAUCAGGUGGGACUACCCGCUGAACUUAA
rnacentral:rRNA from 1 species